rnacentral:rRNA from 1 species
GGAUUAGAUACCCUGGUAGUCCACGCCGUAAACGAUGAUAACUAGCUGUCCGGACACUUGGUGUUUGGGUGGCGCAGCUAACGCAUUAAGUUAUCCGCCUGGGGAGUACGGCCGCAAGGUUAAAACUCAAAUGAAUUGACGGGGGCCUGCACAAGCGGUGGAGCAUGUGGUUUAAUUCGAAGCAACGCGCAGAACCUUACCAGCGUUUGACAUGGCAGGACGACUUCCAGAGAUGGAUUUCUUCCCUUCGGGGACCUGCACACAGGUGCUGCAUGGCUGUCGUCAGCUCGUGCC